rnacentral:misc_RNA from 1 species
UCAAACUUGGUCAUUUAGAGGAAGUAAAAGUCGUAACAAGGUUUCCGUAGGUGAACCUGCGGAAGGAUCAUUAAUGAAUUCUAACUUGGUGGAUUGUUGCUGGCUUUCGAGCAUUUGUGCACGUCUAUCAUUGUUAUUAUUUCUCCACCUGUGCACCUUUUGUAGACCCUGUCAAUGCGCAAUUCUGAUGUAUUUAAUUACAUUCAGGUGUUAGGUUUGCGUUCCGCGCUUUCCUUGAUUGUUCAGGUGUUCUAUGUUAUUUUUAUUAUACACCGAAUUGAAAUGAAACGAAUGUUAUUUAAAGGUCUUUGUUACCUAUAAUAAAAACUAUACAACUUUCAGCAACGGAUCUCUUGGCUCUCGCAUCGAUGAAGAACGCAGC